rnacentral:rRNA from 1 species
CAAUAGCGUAUAUUAAAGCUGUUGCGGUUAAAAAGCUCGUAGUUGGAUUUCUGUCAAGGACAACUGGUCCGCCCUCCGGGUGAGCACAUAGUUUGGUCUUGGCAUCUUGCUGGACACUGUUGCUGCGCUUGGUUGUGUGGUGCAGCUUUCAGCACUUUCACUUUGAGGAAAUUGGAGUGUUUCAAGCAGGCACAUGCCUUUGGACACAGUAGCAUGGAAUAAUUAGAUUGGGCUUUUGCUCCAACUUGUUGGUUCCUGGAGCUGAGGUGAGAAUCAAUGGGGAUUGUUGGGGGCAUCCGAAUUUAGCCGUCAGAGGUGAAAUUCUUGGAUCUGCUAAAGACGGACAACUGCGAAAGCGUUUGCCCAGGAUGUUUUCAUUGA